AACCGGUACGGGCUCUGAGAGGGGGAGCCCGGAGAUGGACUCUGAGACAAGAGUCCAGGCCCUACGGGGCGCGGCAGGCGCGAAACCUCCGCAAUGCGCGUAAGCGUGACGGGGCCAUCCCGAGUGCCACCUAACGGUGGCUUUUGCCUAGCGUAAACAGCUAGGCGAAUAAGCGGGGGGCAAGACGGGUGUCAGCCGCCGCGGUAAUACCCGCUCCGCGAGUGGUGAGGAUGUUUACUGGGCUUAAAGCGUCCGUAGCCGGCUCGGCGUGUUCUCCGUUAAAUCCGGUGGCCUAACCAUCGGGCUGCGGGGAAUACUGCCGGGCUUGGGGGUGGGAGAGGCCGACGGUAUUCCCGGGGUAGGGGUAAAAUCCUCUGAUCCCGGGAGGACCACCAGUGGCGAAGGCGGUCGGCCAGAACACGCCC
rnacentral:rRNA from 1 species